CAGGAGUCAGAGGGUGAGGGGGCGGGGCUUGUCGGCGCGCAGGGCAGUUUGCACGCCUGCGCGGACUCGGAGGAUGGCUAAUGGCCGCUGCCAAUUUGUAGGGAGUGUGACUGUGUUGGUGUUUGGUACUAGUAUUUCAAGGAAAUCCCCUCUUUUGGUUGAAAUCACAGUUCUCUGGCGCGAGUCCCCGGACCGGCAGCAUCAGCAGCACCUGGGGCUUAGGUCUUAGCCACUCAGACGUGGACGCCAGAGGAUAAAGUGAAAAAUAAAUUGUAUGUCUGGAAAGGCGAGAUCUAGAAGGAUUGGACUCAACACUGAAUGCAGAAUUCUAUGUCUCCAGAUUUUAGUACUCAUAACAUCUCAUCUACAGAUGUGGCCCUCACUUAGACUUCUCCAUCAAAGGUACUGGUGGUAAAUAACGAAUUCCCAGUCGCUGGGCCUGUAAGGAAGUAAAUUCUAUUUUUAUAAU